rnacentral:tRNA from 1 species
GCGGGCGUGGCGGAAUUGGCAGACGCGCCAGAUUUAGGUUCUGGUAGGAGACUGUGCAGGUUCAAGUCCUGUCGCCCGCACCA